rnacentral:rRNA from 1 species
GUGAGUCAUCGAAUCUUUGAACGCACCUUGCGCCCCUUGGUUAUUCCUCGGAGCAUGCCUGUUUGAGUAUCAUGAACACCUCAACUCUCAUGGUCUUCCAUGAUGAGCUUGGACUUUGGGGGUUUGCUGGCCCUGUGGCCGGCUCCUCUCAAAUGAAUCAGCUUGCCAGUGUUUGGUGGCGUCACGGGUGUGAUAACUAUCUACGCUCGCGGUCGUCUGCCAGGUAACCCUCAGCGAUGAAGGUUCAUUGGGGCUCAUAAACGUCUCUCCCCAGCGAGGACAACUUUUGAACGUUCGAUCUCAAAUCAGGUAGGACUACCCGCUGAACUUAAGC